rnacentral:rRNA from 1 species
AUUGAACGCUGGCGGCAGGCCUAACACGUGCAAGUCGAGCGGAUGAAGGGAGCUUGCUCCUGGAUUCAGCGGCGGACGGGUGAGUAAUGCCUAGGAAUCUGCCUGGUAGUGGGGGAUAACGUCCGGAAACGGGCGCUAAUACCGCAUACGUCCUGAGGGAGAAAGUGGGGGAUCUUCGGACCUCACGCUAUCAGAUGAGCCUAGGUCGGAUUAGCUAGUUGGUGGGGUAAAGGCCUACCAAGGCGACGAUCCGUAACUGGUCUGAGAGGACGAUCAGUCACACUGGAACUGAGACACGGUCCAGACUCCUACGGGAGGCAGCAGUGGGGAAUAUUGGACAAUGGGCGAAAGCCUGAUCCAGCCAUGCCGCGUGUGUGAAGAAGGUCUUCGGAUUGUAAAGCACUUUAAGUUGGGAGGAAGGGCAGUAAGUUAAUACCUUGCUGUUUUGACGUUACCAACAGAAUAAGCACCGGCUAACUUCGUG